CCUACGGGUGGCAGCAGUGGGGAAUAUUGGGCAAUGGAGGAAACCCUGACCCAGCAACGCCGCGUGAGUGAUGAAGGAUUUCGGAUUGUAAAGCUCUUUCAUAAGGGAAGAACGAAGUGACGGUACCUUACGAAUAAGCCUCGGCUAACUACGUGCCAGCAGCCGCGGUAAUACGUAGGAGGCGAGCGUUAUCCGGAAUGACUGGGUGUAAAGGGUGCGUAGGUGGUGUGGCAAGUUAGUAGCGAAACUCCAGGGCUCAACCUUCGAACUGCUACUAAAACUGUUGGACUUGAGUGCAGGAGAGGCAAGCGGAAUUCCUAGUGUAGCGGUGGAAUGCGUAGAUAUUAGGAGGAACACCAGUGGCGAAGGCGGGUUGCUAGACUGUAACUGACACUGAGGCACGAAAGCGUGGGGAGCAAACAGGAUUAGAUACCCUGGUAGUC
rnacentral:rRNA from 1 species